AGACGUCUACAUUAGAUACCCCCGUAGUCCCAGCCGUAAACUAUGCGCGUUAGGUGUAUCGGUGACCACGAGUCACCGAGGUGCCGAAGGGAAACCGUGAAACGUGCCGCCUGGGAAGUACGGUCGCAAGGCUGAAACUUAAAGGAAUUGGCGGGGAGCACCACAACGGGUGGAGCCUGCGGUUUAAUUGGACUCAACGCCGGGAAGCUCACCGGAUAAGACAGCGGAAUGAUUGCCGGGCUGAAGAACUCUGCAUGACUAGCUG
rnacentral:rRNA from 1 species